CUGGUUGAUCCUGCCAGUAGUCAUAUGCUUGUCUCAAAGACUAAGCCAUGCAUGUCUAAGUAUAAAUGUUAUACAGUGAAACUGCGAAUGGCUCAUUAAAACAGUUAUAGUUUAUUUGAUAAUCGAAUUUACAUGGAUAACCGUGGUAAUUCUAGAGCUAAUACAUGCUGGUUAGCCUGACUUUUGAGGAAGGGCUGUAUUUAUUAGAUAACAAACCAAUAUUCCUUGUGUCUAUUGUGAUGACUCAUAAUAACUGAUCGAAUCGCAUGGACUUUGUCCGCGAUAAAUCAUUCAAGUUUCUGCCCCAUCAGCUUUCGAUGGUAGUGUAUUGGACUACCAUGGCUUUAACGGGUAACGGAGGAUUAGGGUUCGAUUCCGGAGAGGGAGCCUGAGAAACGGCUACCACAUCUAAGGAAGGCAGCAGGCGCGUAAAUUACCCAAUCCUGACUCAGGGAGGUAGUGACAAGAAAUAACGGACCGAAGCCUAUGUUUCGGGAUUGCAAUGAGUAGAAUUUAAACCCCUUUACGAGGAUCAAUUGGAGGGCAAGUCUGGU
rnacentral:rRNA from 1 species